rnacentral:rRNA from 1 species
AUGGACGAGUACCGGCCGCGCCGGUCGCCGGCUACCGAGCGGUUCGUCGGGUUGUUCUCGUCGCCGACGGAGUCGUCGUUCGUCGCCGGGGAUGAGUUCCACGAGGACGACUUCAUGUUCUCUUCUGCCCCAGUCGCCGCCUCGGACGCGCGGCCCGACGGGCCAGGGAGCCCGACCCGGGUUCCGCAUAGCCACCUCGGUCUCCUCGCCGCGCUGCACGAGGGGGACAAAAGGCUCCUUGUUCGCCGCGCCGGGGGCGGGAGCGGGGCAGCGGCGUCGGCUGUCGCGGCCACCCCGGCCACGCUGCUCCGGCGCAAGGCCACCAUCGCGGCUGCCACUUCGGCAUCUGGUGGUUCGCUGUCGCCCACCCAGUCCCCUGCCUCCGCCGCGUGGGCUAUCCCGGCGAACCCGAGGCCCAAGAACCGCGCACCGGCCCUGCAGUAUCACCAGUCGGCUCCAGUUAAGGUUCCCGUCCGCCCGCCCCCGAAGCCGGCAAUGGACAAGUGGGACGAACUGGACGACGAUGACGAGCUCCGGCACGGGGAGGCCGCCAUGCUGCCCCCGCACGAGAUGGUCGCGCGCGCGUCUGCUGGUGGCGCCGGGCCGACCGCCCCCUUCUCGAUGCUGGAGGGCGCCGGUCGCACGCUCAAGGGCCGAGAUCUUCGACGGGUACGCGACGCUGUGCUCCGGCAAACAGGAUGGCUCGACUGA